CAGCCAUGAUGAGGCCUGGCUCACAAGAGCCAUAGUUACUGUAGGAGUUUCUGUGGCUGAAUAUGCUUAGCUAUUGAGGCAAGGACAUGUGCUGGAUGUGUAUGCAGUCUUUGAAGCUGGAGAGACCUGUGUUGGAAACUGUGCUCUGUCCCAUACCAGUUCCCUGACCUUGGCCUAAAGAGGAGGGUGAUGGAUUGCCAACACACUUGGAGGGAGAGGAGAGUGACUCUUGGUGGAAGAAGACAGCUGUCAAGGGAAG